CUCAAACCCAAGUCGACUGACAGCAGCCAAGAAACAGUUCGGACUUUUUCGCGUUGGUUUAGAAGCAGAUGGCACUCGCGUCCACCUCACAUGGUCGACGUAAAUACGUCACGUGAAGCUCAUAGAGCCGCUUUCCAACCAAUCGCAGGACGAUGAGGAACAUGACUUUUGGGCAACUGUCGUCUAUGGCUUCCAUUUGACACCCGUCAAACCUCGCGCUUCAUCUGGAAGGCACGGCGGCGUCGCGCUCCGUCGGUCACGGACGGGAAAGUGUUGCGAGUGCCGGCGGGCGGCAGGACCGGACGGACGGACCGUUCCGGUGCGUGUGCCGCCUCUGAAGCUGCUCCAACAUGAUUGGCUGCUGACCAGGAAGAAGCAGCGCGAAAUAUGCCCCCCCCCAACAUGAUUGGCUGCUGACCAGGAAGAAGCAGCGCGCGUUCUGCCCACCCCACCCAUUGUGCACGUUUGACUGGGGGCCAGCUUGCUGAGCUAAAGCGACGUGGCGGCCAUGUUGGCGGGUGCAAUCGCGUUGCCAUCAAUGGCAAUGCUUGACUAGUCGCCGCGGCGUUUUUAGAGAACACCGGAGCGGCUGUGCAUCAUUCUGCUGCCAUUCGAAGCGUCCUGUGAAGCAGACAGACAAGGUCACCGUCACCGCCGGUAGCAUGAGGCGGUAGCUGGACCCUACACAAGUGGCUUGAGGACGGCACUGCUUUGUGCAGAGGAGGAACAGGAUCGGCAUUGCCGGAAGCCCACAACCCUCACGCGGCAGGGUUGUGCGGGCAGUACCUCCGGGAGGAAGGAACUGGUACUAAUGACCGGGCCCCAAGGUCACCUGACCUCAAUCACGUAGACCGCCUGUGCGGUAUGAGGUUCCGGUCCAUCCUCCGCCGCUGCCAAAUUGCACCUCCGACCGCCCAGGAGCUCAGUGAUGCCCUGCUCCACAUCUGGGAGGACAACAUCCGUCGUCUCAUGACGAGACGAGCACGUGGGAGCCACGCAAACCACUGAGUCCGUUUUGAAGUUGCUGGAAGGAAAUUUCAGCAACAUGAACAGACGCGCAAAGUUCAUGUUUACAUUGGGGUCUUUUGAGCGGGUCAAAACGCAAAUUCACACAAGCGCGUUUUGAGUCCUGCAACGUGACUUGCAUGUUUUUGUGAACGUCGACGAUCGCGUGCCUCAAAUUUCACACAUUCAACGUGAGCGGCGCUACUUUCAUGAACGACAAAGGCAAACAAGAAGCACACGACCAAGGACCUCCAUCCAGUCUCCAAAACGCUUCUCCGUGUUUUAUUCGGUUUAGGGCCAAUCACACAAGCGCACGCACGUGCACACACACCAAUAAAAUAAGCAUUAAGUCAUCCCGGGUGAGUUGAAAAUUAUGUGUUGAAUUUACAAUAAAAUAUUUGUCAGC